AGUAGCCCAGGUUGGCUCUAACCGCCAGCCUCUGUCACCCCAUUGAGUCUCCUCGUGAGGAGGAUGGCCGGGGUGGGAAAGUGCACUGAGGGCCAUCCAUGCAGGCCGGACCGAAGCCCCAGCUUGCCGUCAUCCUCAGAAGGGCAUCAGAGACCGGUGCUGGAGCUGAGGGAGUGAGUGAAAGCUGCUACUACCACCAUGCUGGAGGAUAGAGAGGUCUCUGCGACUCCUCUCUCCAUGUAUUUUUCUUUUCGUUGAAGUCACUUCUCAUAUCAGAGGCUCAGCUGGGAGAAAAGAAUCUGAAGAUCUAGACUGUUGGGAGGGUCCUGGCACCCACCUUGCUGAUCCCUGGCACUGGCUACACAUUGCAAUGCUUUCUCAAACUUUGGCAGUUAUCCAGAAAGAAAUGAACCUGAUAUGUGUGGAGGAAGGCCAACAUGUUGCCAUUGGAAAGUCCUCUCUGUGUCCUGGAUUUGGGCUUGGAUGAUGAUAUGGUUGAGAUGUUAUACUCAAUGUGGCUGAAAUUCUAAAUAACGAAGUGCCCAUGCUCCAAGAGGCUGUGAAGACACAGUGAGAGAGCCCAUACACGGCUCCACUGCAUUCUGAAUUUUUAUAUUAUAUUAUAUUAUAUUAUAUUAUUUAUUUUGUUUAUUGCUAAAUGUAUAUACUACCUUUCAUCAAAAUAAUCACAAGGUGGUUCACAUAGAAAAAGUUAAAACAAGACUAUAAAAAUUACACAAUUAAA